CAAAUACUCCCUCCGUUCGGAAAUACUUGUCAUUGAAAUGGAUGUAUCUAGAUGUAUUUUAAUUGCAGAUACAUCCAUUUUCAUCCAUUUUGAUGACAAGUAUUUCCGGACGGAGGGAGUAUUUA
rfam:Triticum aestivum genome assembly, contig: Triticum_aestivum_CS42_TGACv1_scaffold_328634_4BS